UGCUGUCCUCCUUGCAGCUCUGCUCAAAGUCAAAGAGGAAAGGGCUAUUUGAGAUCACUCACUGUGUUUGUCAGGAUUUCCCAGAGAAACAGAACCAACAGGAUGUGUAUUUAUAGAAAGAGAUUUAUUAUAAGGAAUUGGCUGAUGCGCUUAUGGAAGCUGGCAAGUUCAAAAUCUGCAGUGUGGUCAGCAGGCUAGAGACUCAGGAGAGCUGAUGAUAUGGACGAAGUCUGAAGGCAGUUCGCUGGAAAAUUCCCUCUUGCUCAUGAAGGCCAGUCUUUGUUCCAGUCAGGCCUUGAACUGAUGGAUGAGGCCCAUCCACAUUAGGGAGGGCAAUCUGCUUUACCCAAAGUUUACUGAUUUAAAUGUUAAUCCUUUCCAAAACACCCUCUAGUUCGCAUAUAAAAUUAACUAUCACUCAUACCUAUUCCCUCCAAUGACCUGGUAGAGCUGACAGCUUUCUCUUAGUCUUUUGAGUGCCACCUUCAUGAUUUUUGCAAUAUCUGUGUGUUGUGUAUUUAAUAUUUCCUUUAAACCAAUGUUAACUACUCAAAAAUUUAGCCUGUACUAAAACAAUAUUCGAGAUAAAGGGCUUGCUGUACUGGUUUUAAUUUUUUUUCUAAUACACGCAAGAAUAAAUACUCUUAGACAUUUUUAAAAGGUGCACGUAGUACCUAAAACCAUCUUGCUACCCCAUUUGGUCAACAACGUAACCAAGGCUGUCCCCGGGGGACCAAGGUGCCCGAGGCUUCUGCAGGCCACCAGGGGGCGGAUUUAUCCAUCGCCUGAAACCCUUAUUUAUGGGAUAGGGGUGGAGGCUGAGGGAAGUCUUCUCCAGGUCCAACCCAGGCACAGGACAGAGGGAGGAACCCUGGGAGUUAUCCCACCAACAGGGUGCGCUCCACGACGCUGCGGCCCCUGGAGGGACUGCCGAGAGCUCCGACAUCCGGGGAACCUUGGGAGCUCAGGACAGGGCUCUGCGCGCCAAGGCCCCAUUCUCCGUUAGGGGCACAGGGGCUGCCCCACACGGGGACAGGGCUGCCGGGACCCAUCGCAGAGGUGCGGUGUGAACACCCUCCCAGAUCACGGAGGAUGCUCAGAGCGGCGGCCUCCCCCGGAAGAGGUGGUGGGAGCCGUGGAAUGGCAGGGUGGAAGGGUCCGUCGGCUGGUCUCUUUCGCAGUCCCUCCGGCCACUCUGGGACAGUGAUUUUGUUAACAGCAAAAGUGCCUCCCUCAGGCACUGGUCUUCAGCUGCCGGACUCGCUCGCACAGCCUGGCGUUCCCGCUGAGGGAAGUAGAGAAAGCUACUUCCGGCAGAGGGGCUGCACUUCCGGGCCCGCGUUCCUGGCGGAUGUAGCCAGGAAGGGCCACUGGGGGCUUGAGGGCCCCAGCUCCUGUCUCAGUGCGGAGAGCUCCCUGGUGGCCUUCCAGAGGAGCAGGCUGUAUCCUCCUUAUUCUGGUGUGACCCGAAUGAAACGGAGUGGACUUGAGGAUCCAGAAUCCCGGACUGAGGAAAAACUGUUAAAAUCAUCAGGUUACCAUAGCAUGAUACAGUAACAAUUGGAGAAUAAAACUCCCUUGCUUUAAAGCUCAUCUAUUAAAAAUAACCUCUGAUAUCUCUUGGAUGAAUCUAUCCAAUGGAAGGGAACAUCUCAUGCUGCAACAUUAUGGUUCUUAGAUUCUGGAGUCAUAACAAAGAGAAGAGAAAACAACUAGGCAUUUAUAAGGAAUUUUGUUUUUAUCUCUUACUUGAAAAAUUUCUUGCUCCUGACUGCUUGAAGUUUGGAAAGCAAAGAAUAAGGUACCUACUAUCCUGAAUUUGGUGUUUAUCAUUCCCAUAAAGAUUUUAUAUUUACCAAGUAUGUAUUAACCAUAUGGUUAAUAUAUGGUAUUGUUAUGUAUAUUGUAAGUCUGUAUAAAUGGUAUCACACCAUAUAUACAUGUUUUAUAACUUU